rnacentral:rRNA from 1 species
CUACGUGCCAGCAGCCGCGGUAAUACGUAGGGCGCGAGCGUUGUCCGGAAUUAUUGGGCGUAAAGGGCUUGUAGGCGGUUGGUCGCGUCUGCCGUGAAAUCCUCUGGCUUAACUGGGGGCGUGCGGUGGGUACGGGCUGACUUGAGUGCGGUAGGGGAGACUGGAACUCCUGGUGUAGCGGUGGAAUGCGCAGAUAUCAGGAAGAACACCGGUGGCGAAGGCGGGUCUCUGGGCCGUUACUGACGCUGAGGAGCGAAAGCGUGGGGAGCGAACAGGAUUAGAUACCCUGGUAGUCCACGCCGUAAACGAUGAGUGCCAGGUGUUGGAUCCUUUCCGGGAUUCAGUGCCGCAGCUAACGCAUUAAGCACUCCGCCUGGGGAGUACGACCGCAAGGUUGAAACUCAAAGGAAUUGACGGGGGCCCGCACAAGCGGUGGAGCAUGUGGUUUAAUUCGAAGCAACGCGAAGAACCUUACCAGGUCUUGACAUCCCUCUGACCGCUCUAGAGAUAGAGUUUUC